rnacentral:rRNA from 1 species
AAUGAACGCUGGCGGCAGGCCUAACACAUGCAAGUCGAACGAGUGGCGGACGGGUGAGUAAUGUCUGGGACACUGCCUGAUGGAGGGGGAUAACUACUGGAAACGGUAGCUAAUACCGCAUACCCUCGGAUGUGCCCAGAUGGGAUUAGCUAGUAGGUGGGGUAAAGGCUCACCUAGGCGACGAUCCCUAGCUGGUCUGAGAGGAUGACCAGCCACCCUGGAACUGAUACACGGUCCAGACUCCUACGGGAGGCAGCAGGGGGGAAUAUUGCACAAUGGGCGCAAGCCUGAUGCAGCCAUGCCGCGUGUAUGAAGAAGGCCUUCGGGUUGGAAAGUACUGUCAGCGGGGAAGCGUUACCCGCAGAAGAAGCACCGGCUAACUCCGUGCCAGCAGCCGCGGUAAUUC